UCGGAAGGACCAGAGACGAAAAUAACCCCUUUUAUCCAGAAACACGCGGAUCCUUGGCGGUUCGAGUCGGGUCGGUCCGAUCCAUGUUAAAACGACGUCGUUUUGGGGCUUCAGGACGCCGGCCAAAACGGCUUCGUUUUAAGGGCCUAUAAAAGGCAAAUUUCUUUUCAAAAAAAUCAUUCCUUCCUUCUCACAAAAAAAAAACUGAUAUGCUCUCCCUCUCCCUUUCUCCGUUCCUCUCUCCGGCCAAGAGUCCGGCGAAACGCCGCCGCGCCGGUCGAUGAUCGCCGGCGUUGCCGUAGGCGGCGGUCAGAAAAUAAAAAAACCUCUUUAACCCUUCUUAACCCCCUGACUCCAAAUCUGGGGUUGUUUUUAGAAAAAGCGGCCAAAAAUGACCGAAUAGAGGAGGGGCCCUUCGAAUCCCGACGACGGAGAACGAAACAGAUGAUGGAGUAGGUGGCGGAGCAGUUGGUGGCGUGCCGCGCUGGAGAAGGCAGGGCAAGUGGCCGAUGGGACAGAGGCAUGGGUACGGCGGCAGAAGAAUUAGGGAAACCCUAGGGUUUCUCUUUUUGUGUUUAAUUUUUUGGACUUGGGCCAAUUUAGAUUUUGGGCUACUUGGGCCUUGUGUUUUGGGUUGAAUUUAGCUUGUUAGGCUGGGGUAUUUUGGGUUAAUGGCCCCGGGCAAAUUUGGGCUUCUACACCCGUAAUCUUAUUAUAAAACAUAAUUUAAGAUUCGGUAAACCAAA